rnacentral:lncRNA from 1 species
AUUUUUCAAAAAUUAUUUUUUAAAAUACUGUGUAAUAUUAAAUCAUUUAUAUGCUAAUUAUAGUUAGAAAUAUGUUGAAAAAUAUUUCAAAUCUUCGAAAUGCAUUACAUUUCAAUUUUAUUUGUCUAAAUUUUAGGAAUGAUAUUUCUUGAUUUUUCUGUUUUCUUCUUACCAUCAUCCGCCAUCUUGCCUAGGUAAAGAUAUUUUUGAUUCUCCGUAACCAUAGCAACUUUCAUUUACGUCACACGCCAGACAUCCAUUCUUUUGUUUUCCUUAUACAAUCAUCUGAUUGGUUAAUGUAAGUCACAAGAUAGGUGAUAGUGCUGCCAUCUGAUGUACUGUAUUUAUAACAUAAUCCAAGUUAUCAUUAACGAUAAUGCUGAUAAUUUAAUAAUAUCUGUACGAUCGUUCAUUUAUCAAUUUGACAUUAGUCAUAUUUUGUUCAGUUUCGUUCCAAAUUCCGUAAUAUAUAAUUUUUUACUGGAAUUGUUAUGCAAUGUGUGGAUUAAAGUUCUAUUUUUGGCCGAUAGAGGGAGCCACAGAUGCAUACUGCCAGAUUAAAUCGUUAAAAUUCCGUUAUAUCUAUUUUAAUAUUUUUGUCAUUGACUCAUCGAGUAACAAGAAAUUGUUUUAAUAUUCUAUAAGUUUUAAUUAAGAGUUUUCCUAAUUAAGAUUUUUUUUUUUUUUUCAAUUUAUUUGAAAAUACUAAUUGGUAAAAUGAUUGAAUUUCGCUGUAUAUAGAAUUAUCUAAAUUGCAUUAUUUCUCUUAGAAUUAUUAUUUCUUUCAUAAUAACAUACAUUGUUCUUAUUUCUAAAUUAAUUUUAAUUAUAGAUCGCGAGAUGAGAAUCUUGGUGAACGUUUCCAGAGCUAAAUAUUUCAGUCUUAAUUAAUUUAAAGAGAUUAUAGUCUCGGUUUUUAUUCGAAAUCAGUAAAUAUAAUAAUAAUAUUAAAGCAACUUAACUGCUCAUUUUUUGAUAAGCAGUAGCUUUCAUCUGUAUCCCUGCAGGGAUCACCAGAUGGAAAGGCGUCCUUGGCCUGUUUUUUCGAUGUAGACGAUCAUUUCACAAUGUGAGGGCAUUGUAAAGACAUGGUUGCACGAAAACUGCCUUAAUUAGCCGUCUGAACAAAUUCUCGCUGCACUAUAUAUAACGAAUACAAGAAAUACCUAUCUGGAUUGUUCGUUUUCUAAGCAAAUUUAAAAAUUUAGAACAUUUCAAAUAAUACCCAUUGUUGAAAGUUGAAUGUUUUCACUUAUUAGCCGACUAUUGUACUCAUUAAGUACUAUCUUAUCGUUUUUUGAAAGGCUUCGGUUUCCUCAAUUCUCGUAGCUUGGUCUGCCUUACCUCCAGCUGUCCCAAUGACAUCAUCAAGGUGACCUUGGCGCAGUAAAUAUUGUGUUGCCUCUUCCAGGGCAUUCAACUUUGUAGUGGCAUUUUUGAUCAGAAACAAUGACAACGCAGCUGCGAUGACUAACAUACUCCGCACUUAAAACAUCUAAACUGGGUACAAAGUGAUUAACCAUUCGAAUUCGAAAACGCAUCGAUUCAAACCUAAUUAAUAUUGUACUUUUCAAAGUCUGAGAGGAUAAGUAAUAAUUACUGUAUAUUUAAAAAUUUAAUUCAAGUCAUAAUUUCAUUAUUUUGAUCAAGGAACCUCUAGAUUAUAGAUUUGUUUUAAUUUUGAUGGCAAUGGAAGCGCUGCUUUUUCAGAAGAAAAUUUUUUUGUUUGUACUGAAUUUUGUCAUUAGUUGCAUUUUUUAUUUUAAACUUUAGAUGAUACUCAUCUGUUUAUUAAAUUAUAUUUGUGGUACUUAAUUACACAGAGUAUGCACAAAUAUCUAAGCAGUUAAAACGUUCUGCACAACAGUUUUCUGUUUUCAUGUUGUGCGACUUAAUAAUAAUAUAAAAGAAAUACUUACUACCUAGUUUUUAAAAAGAUUAAAAAGGUUUUAAUCUAUAAUCCAUGGGAACAAAUUUCCUUUGUAAAAUUUUGCAGUUUGUUCAACUAUAAAACUUUAGCAGUUCCCAAUUCUUCGACAUUUCUUUACUGAAAGGAGGAACCUUUAUGUCUAAAUAGUCUAUCCUUUGAUUCCUCAGCCAGACUCUUUUCGUCUACGAAUUCUCAUUUACCCAAGCUUGCUUAGGGCACCAAUUCACUAUCCAUGCAGGUUACAAUAGAAAGGAAAAAACUCCAUCAAACCAGACCAUAUGGUGACCGUCGCCAGCUGGGACAGAAAGGGGUAGAACGAUCAUACCUGGUCGUGGGCAGUCAGCAGGAUAAAGACCAUCUGGCAUCUCCCACAGACAUAGAAAAAAACGACACCUUUGCACGUAGAACCUAUCCAACCCUUGACCUUUGACUGGCUGGUCCUUUUUCUCUCGUAGAUUCACGUCCUGAGACGAGACUUCGGUGUAUUGUUUCCGUUGAAGAUUUCGUGGGAAGUUGAAGGUGAAAAGAAGUUUUCUUCAAAUAGACGAGACGUCUCGUUUUAUAUGUCACUUGUUUGAUAUUUUGAAAGCAAUGAUAAACGAUAUGUUAGCCACGUUGCAAAAAGAUGUCGUUCGCACGAUCUCUGAAUUUGACUGCUUAGUCCCAGUGUUAACUAAGUCUUAGUCAUCAAUUCAUAGGUUUCUUAUUCGUUCUUCGAAGAAUUGAUCUUCAAUACAUUCAACGCUUGAUUAAUCGAUAACUUAAAUGAAACAUGAAACUACUGUAUAUUUGAUCAAAGUUCAAAGCAUCUGUUCAAGAUCUCAUCUGUCUUGGAAGGAGUAAUGGAUGUUUAUCGUGUUUGGGUCUAAACUACUUAAACCAUUUGAAAGUGAAGUUUUGAUUAUUAGAAUAAAAUAAAAACUUUUCUUUUAAAUAAUAAUACCAAUAAUUCUUUUAAAAAAAGGUAAAUUGAAUUAUCUAAAGUUUAAAGGUUAAAUUUUAGUCCUUUAUUACUCUUCUGAAUCGAAAUUAUUCACUUUCGCUAGUAGAAUUUGGAAAAAACGAAGAAGUCUUCUUGCAUGAUAUUAAAUUUUACAUAUUAUAAAAGCAGCUUAGACAAUUUUUCUUUUCAUCUUCCGAGAUAGUGUAUCGUGACUUCUUUCAUUUUGUACUUAAAGAUUGUUUAGGUUUGCCUCGGGGUUUGACUUCACUUAUGAAGAAAUGCAUCAAUAUAAAAUAAGUUGUGACAACUUCACUCUAUAACCUCGCACAUUAAUUCUCGUUUUCCUUUUUCAAAUUGCCAGGUGUUUCUUUACUAAUCAUUCCGACUCCAUUCAUAACUCUGACUAUAAACACUAGGUAUGCCAACUCCUUUUCUAUGAGAACGGUUUGUAAAUUGUGCUUUAUAAUCAGUUCUCCCCAGGAAAUAUAACUUCCUUUUAUUUGGCUUAUCUGGAUAUUUUUAAUUCGAAGUGACGAACUUUUUGACAGUAAUUCUCGCUCUCUAGAUAGCAGAUUCAUAGAUGAUCGAGGAAAUAUAUCCCUUUAUGUAUAAAAUAUGGAAUUUUUUGAAAUCAUAAUAAUUGAUUAAGAUAAGUAAAAUUUAUGCUACAAAGAAAACU